AUUGAACGCUGGCGGCAGGCUUAACACAUGCAAGUCGAGCGGAGAGAGGUAGCUUGCUACUGAUCUUAGCGGCGGACGGGUGAGUAAUGCUUAGGAAUCUGCCUAUUAGUGGGGGACAACAUUUCGAAAGGAAUGCUAAUACCGCAUACGUCCUACGGGAGAAAGCAGGGGAUCUUCGGACCUUGCGCUAAUAGAUGAGCCUAAGUCGGAUUAGCUAGUUGGUGGGGUAAAGGCCUACCAAGGCGACGAUCUGUAGCGGGUCUGAGAGGAUGAGCCGCCACACUGGGACUGAGACACGGCCCAGACUCAUACGGGAGGCAGCAGUGGGGAAUAUUGGACAAUGGGCGGAAGCCUGAUCCAGCCAUGCCGCGUGUGUGAAGAAGGCCUUCGGAUUGUAAAGCACUUUAAGUUGGGAGGAAGGUCUGUAAGCUAAUAUCUUGCAGUCUUGACGUUACCAACAGAAUAAGCACCGGCUAACUCUGUGCCAGCCGCCGCCGUAACAC
rnacentral:rRNA from 1 species